AAACCAGCACCUCAAGUGGUCAGGAUGAUUAUUGGGCCUAAAGCAUCCGUAGCCUGCUUUAUCAGUUUUCGGUUAAAUCCACACGCUCAACGUAUGGGCUGCCGGGAAUACUGUAAAGCUAGGGAGUGGGAGAGGUAGACGGUACUCGGGAGGAAGGGGUAAAAUCCUUUGAUCUCUCGAUGACCACCUGUGGCGAAGGCGGUCUACCAGAACACGUCCGACGGUGAGGGAUGAAAGCUGGGGGAGCAAACCGGAUUAGAAACCCGGGUAGUCC
rnacentral:rRNA from 1 species